rnacentral:rRNA from 1 species
CCCGCACAAGCGGUGGAUGAUGUGGAUUAAUUCGAUGCAACGCGAAAACCUUACCUACCCUUGACAUGUCCGGAAUCCCGAAGAGAUUUGGGAGUGCUCGCAAGAGAGCCGGAACACAGGUGCUGCAUGGCUGUCGUCAGCUCGUGUCGUGAGAUGUUGGGUUAAGUCCCGCAACGAGCGCAACCCUUGUCAUUAGUUGCCAUCAUUUGGUUGGGCACUCUAAUGAGACUGCCGGUGACAAACCGGAGGAAGGUGGGGAUGACGUCAAGUCCUCAUGGCCCUUAUGGGUAGGGCUUCACACGUCAUACAAUGGUCGGUACAGAGGGUUGCCAACCCGCGAGGGGGAGCUAAUCCCACAAAGCCGAUCGUAGUCCGGAUCGCAGUCUGCAACUCGACUGCGUGAAGUCGGAAUCGCUAGUAAUCGUGGAUCAGCAUGUCACGGUGAAUACGUUCCCGGGUCUU